rnacentral:SRP_RNA from 1 species
GCCAGGUGUGGUGGCACACACCUGUAGUCCCAGCUACUCAGGAGGCUGAGGCAGGAGAAUUGCUUGAACCCAGGAGGCAGAGGUUGCAGUGAGCUGAGAUCGCGCCACUGCACUCCAGCCUGGGUGACAAAGUGAGACUCUGUCUCAA